AUGUGGGAGGUUCCUUCUGUAAUUGAAUUCUCUCUCCUUCAAUUGCUCAGAUGGAAAUGGGCUGCCAUGUUGUGAGCUGCCCCAUGGGGAAGAGGCUCACAUGUGAGGAACUGAGGGAGGCCUCCAGAAAACAGCCAGUGAAGAACUGAGACCCUCAGUCCAAUAGCCUAUGAGGAACUGAAUCCUGCUGACAACCAUAUGAAUGAGCUUGGAAGCAGGUCCUUCCCCAGUGAAGCCUUCAUGUGAGACUGCAGCCCACUUGACACUUUGAUUUGUAGCUUGUGACAGACCCCAAGCCAGAAGAGUCAGGUGGACCUGCGGAUAAGAACCUAGCCC
rnacentral:lncRNA from 1 species